GUGAAUCAUCAAAUUUUUGAACGCAAAUUGCACUCUCCUCGGAGAGUAUGCCUGUUUGAGUGUCAGCCUAUAAAAAAUCGACAUCGUUUUUGUUUCGCGGUGGCGUUCGUCGGAAAUUGGGUCAUCUUAAAUCUUUUGGUUUUAAGCGACUUAAAAUUUUCUUUUUGGUUCCAUGAACGUUUCUAAGAUUUAUUUCUUUACACGUUUAAGGUAUCGAUUUUUAUUAGACGUGACCAUCAUAUCGGAUAGGGCCCAUAAUCGUUCAUUAACUUACCUAUAACAGGU
rnacentral:misc_RNA from 1 species